rnacentral:lncRNA from 1 species
CAAUUUCCAAGAAUGCAUUCUGCAGACACUAACUUCUUUUAAAAAUACUCGUCCAUUCAGACUUUUUUGCUCACUUAAACUGACCUCUUUCUUCAAUUAUUCUGAAUCAAUGAAGUCUGACAUAGAAUAUUAUUGCCUGACUUCCUUAUUAGAUUCCUGGAAUCUCAGCCCAAGCAAGAGAUAAUCAACAUUUUGGGCAAGGUUCCCUUCAACUCCAUUGGCAACUCUUCCUCCACAUAUGUGGCUUUGGUUGAUUUUAUCCAGCAAAACCAGUUUUUCAGCAAACGGCAAACAAAAACCACAGAGUAAUGAAUCAUAUAGCUGAGGCUCAUAUAGGAUGAAACUCAACCUGAUUAACAGAAAAAUUCCACUGAUGGCAAGAAGUUGUGUCUUGACUUGAAAACUAUUAUUAGCAAGGCAUGUGAUUCUAAUUGUAGCUCUCAAGAGUUCCUUUCAAGGAGUCGACUUUAUUUGUUUCCAGCUCGGAACCCACAAAGAUAGCUUUUCUUCUGAUAAGGGAAAUAACUAUGAGGCAUGUGGAGAAGUGGGAGAAUGAUAAGAGAAUGUUGGAGCCUUUAUUCAGAAGAGUUUGCAACUUUUUCUUGGGAUUUUCCAUAUUAAUCAUGCCCUUCAUAGAAGUGAGGAGUGAGAAGGAUGAGGAAACAAUUUUAUCCUUUCUCCUUGGGAUAAGCAGAAGUAGAGAUAUCUUCCUUGCCAGGCCAUAAUAAGAGGCGAAUGUCAGGAACCCGGAAGGACCAGAGAGAAGUUGGUGUCAGUAAUUGGCUCAUUGCUCCUUGAUCCAUUGUAAAGUCUGGAGGAUGUUUCAGAAAAUAAAGAAGGUAUCAUGGAAAGCCA